AUGCAUCAGAGACCUGGGCAGGGGCUGGAAUUCAUCGCCAGCAUCUACUACGGCAGUGGGGGUUACACCUUCUACGCGCCGUCGGUGCAAGCUCCCUUCCGGCUCCUGGCCCUGCUGCUCCUGCUGCCCCUCCCAGGGCUCCGGGCGGCCAUGACCCUGCUGGAGUGCGGGGGGGACCUCCAGCCCCCCGGGGGGUCCCUGCACCUCCUCUGCCGAGGGUCCGGGUUCAGUUUCGGGAGUUUCACCAUGUACUGGAUCCGCCAGAGACACGGGCAGACGCUGGAAUUCGUCGCAGCGAUCAAGAAAGAUGGAUCCAGCUACGCCUACGGAUCAUCAGUGCAGGGUCGUUUCAGGAUCUCCAGGGACAACGGGCAGAGCUCGGUGACGCUGACCAUGAACAACCUCAAGAACGAGGAUUCCGGUUCCUAUUUCUGCGGGAAAGCUGCCUAUGAUACUUGGGGUGCUGCUGCUGAUGAUCACAGCGGGGUUCACUUGUGA